AGUGAACGCUGGCGGCGUGCCUAAUACAUGCAAGUCGAACGAAGUGGCGCGCGGGUGAGUAAUAUAUAGUUAAUCUGCCCUACACAGCGGAACAACAGUUGGAAACGACUGCUAAUACCUCAUAGUGUAGGAUGAGACUAUAUCGUAUCAGCUAGUUGGUAAGGUAAUGUCUUACCAAGGCUAUGACGCGUAACGGGUCUGCGCGGAUGCGCAGUUACAUUGGAACGGAGACAGCGUCCAAACUCCUACGGGAGGCAGCAGAAAGGAAUAUUGCGAAAUGGGGGAAACCCUGACGCAGCAACGCCGCGUGGAGGAUGAAACUUUGCGGAGCGUAAACUCCUUUUAUCAGGAAAGCGGUACCUGAUGAAUAAGCACCGGCUAACUCCGUGCCAGCCGCCGCGGUAAUUC
rnacentral:rRNA from 1 species